ACUAAUACAAUACAGGGGAGAUCCCAUAAUCAUGAAGUUGGUUUCCCCAAGGUUAGGCCUAUCCCCUGCACUCAAGACAGGCUGAUUCUUUCAAGUUUCUCCAAAUGCAGGAAACUCAACUGCAUAAUUUUGUGGCAACAAGGGACCGUUUUCUCACUUUCUUA
rnacentral:snRNA from 1 species